rnacentral:rRNA from 1 species
UACGUAGGGGGCAAGCGUUGUCCGGAAUCAUUGGGCGUAAAGCGCGCGUAGGUGGCCUCAUAAGUCCGCUGUGAAAGUCAAAGGCUCAACCUUUGAAAGCCGGUGGAUACUGUGAGGCUAGAGUACGGAAGAGGCGAGUGGAAUUCCUGGUGUAGCGGUGGAAUGCGCAGAUAUCAGGAGGAACACCAAUAGCGAAGGCAGCUCGCUGGGACGUUACUGACACUAAGGCGCGAAAGCGUGGGGAGCGAACAGG